GAGGAAAUUUCUUUUGGUUAUCUGGUUGUAAUUUGAGUCCAACUCUAUGGAAUUAACUUUUAGAUGAUUUUUAUACAUUUAAGGCUUUUAAUCAUUUUUUCUGCCACAUUUAUUAUUAAUACACUUUCUAUGCUUUCAUAUUUAGUUUUAUUGGUUAUUCAGGCAAUUAAAUAUUGUGUAACCUUUUAAAAGGAAAAAAAUAAUGUUUGUGGCUAUCAUUUGCUGUAACUCAAUGUUUUUUUUGUUUGUUUUGGAGGCAGAACCUCAUGGAUUUCCCCCAGAAAUGCCCUCUGAUGGCUCAUUCCAGGGAAUUGAUAAAGCUGAAAUCAAAGGAUCUACUAACGUCUACAGUAAGCAAGAGACAAAUGGGAAAAGUAUGCAUACUGCUUUUGUCUUUGAGACCAAAACAAAAACAAAACAAAGGACUUCAACAAAAAAAUACUACAUAGCAACAGGAGUUGAAUCUGCUGUUUGCAUCACAGAGUGCCAGAACUAAGCUGAGCAUGGUGAUCUGGGACUGUGAAAGCAAGUGGAGCUCAACACCAUCCUGGGCUGCCAGGAAUUGGUGAGGCCAACUAAUCUCCAUGAGACACUAUCACAAAAUUAAACAGAUAAGAAAAAUAUGGG
rnacentral:lncRNA from 1 species